UCUGGUAUGAAAGGUUUGACGAGAUAUUAACUGUUUCAUAAAAAUUUAUAGUAGAAUUUUAUUUUUUAGUCAAAAAGCUAAAAUUUAUUUAAAAGACGAGAAGACCCUAUAAAUCUUUAUAUUUAGGUUAUUAUAAUUGUAUAGAUUUUUUUUGUUAUAAUAAUUAAUAAUAUUUGAUUGGGGUGAUAUUAAAAUUUAAUGAACUUUUAAUUAUUAAAAACAUUAAUUUAUGAAUAAUUGAUCCAUUAUUAGUGAUUAAAAAAAUAAGUUACCUUAGGGAUAACAGCGA
rnacentral:rRNA from 1 species